GUAUCUUCGUGUGGAUGAAGUUUGCUUUCAGCCAGCCACACCGCUGGGAUCUGUCCGAACCGAUCCAGCAUCGACCACCGCAGAAGCGGGUAGAAAGCAACAUAUGUACCCCUCGGAGUCACAUUCCGCUCCACGUGUGUCCUUGCUUCUGAUGUCUCCUUAACAGCUCUGAACAUCCUCUCCUGGGGGCAGUGACAGAUGCUUGACCACAAGCCUUGAGGAUAAAAAAGAAGGCUGUUUGGUGAUAGACAGGCGUGGGGUGACGAGAGCCGCUUCCAAACAUAGCAUUGAGAAGAGCCCCGUGGAGUGUUCUUUGCUCUGAACGCCUGUGAAUCCGCUGAACCCGAGACUAUUCUUGAUGCCUCUGAAGGCUUGAGCCAGGCCUAUCCUCCCUUUGAAGGGAAAUGUCUGAUCUCCAAACACUGUCUGCCCUUAAAGCUCUUUUCCUAGCUGUCUUUGCUGUCUACCCCAGCUUAAUUCCUUUUCUUUUUCUAUUUAAAAAAUUCCUUAACAAGCAGGACACCUCCUGUAUACAUUGUGUCUAAGGUCUCCAUGAACUUAGGGACACAGAUUUGGAAAGCAAAACGAAACUGUGAAGAUGUGAUGUGACCAAGGAAGACCGUGGCUACGGAUGGGCCCCUAUCAGAUAUCUCGAGGCACACAAAGAAGAGACUGUUGAGGACACAAUGAGAAGGUGGCAGUCUGCAAACCAAGAAGUGAGCCCUUACCAGGAACCUAUUUGGUGGGUACCUUGAUCAUGGCCCUCCAGCCUCCAAGACUGAGCAAAUAAAUAUCUGCUGUUCAAGUCA